GACGAACGCUGGCGGCGUGCUUAACACAUGCAAGUCGAACAGAAAGGCCCUGCUUUUGUGGGGUGCUCGAGUGGCGAACGGGUGAGUAACACGUGAGUAACCUGCCCUUGACUUUGGGAUAACUUCAGGAAACUGGGGCUAAUACCGGAUAGGAGCUCCUGCUGCAUGGUGGGGGUUGGAAAGUUUCGGCGGUUGGGGAUGGACUCGCGGCUUAUCAGCUUGUUGGUGGGGUAGUGGCUUACCAAGGCUUUGACGGGUAGCCGGCCUGGGAGGGUGACCGGCCACAUUGGGACUGAGAUACGGCCCAGACUCCUACGGGAGGCAGCAGUGGGGAAUAUUGCACAAUGGGCGGAAGCCUGAUGCAGCAACGCCGCGUGCGGGAUGACGGCCUUCGGGUUGUAAACCGCUUUCGCCUGUGACGAAGCGUGAGUGACGGUAAUGGGUAAAGAAGCACCGGCUAACUACGUG
rnacentral:rRNA from 1 species